UACGUAGGGGGCAAGCGUUGUCCGGAAUUAUUGGGCGUAAAGAGCUCGUAGGUGGUUCGGUAAGUCGGAUGUGAAAUCUCCAGGCUCAACCUGGAGGGGUCAUUCGAUACUGCCGUGACUAGAGGUCGGUAGGGGAGUGUGGAAUUCCUGGUGGAGCGGUGAAAUGCGCAGAUAUCAGGAGGAACACCCGUAGCGAAGGCGGCACUCUGGGCCGAUACUGACACUGAGGAGCGAAAGCGUGGGGAGCGAACAGG
rnacentral:rRNA from 1 species